GGCGAAGGCGCAUAUGAGGCUCUUCCGGACGCAGCAUGCCCUAGAUAAGGGCUGUUCCUGGCCUGAGUUCCAGAAUAAGGAUAAAGUGGUGAAGACCUGAAAUUAUCCCAUAAAGGACAAGUAAUGUGGGAGGAUUAUAUCUCCUUGUCCAUUGACAUCAGGCUUUGGCCAAUUUAAGAGAGUAUAAGAGGCAACAUGAAAGAAGGAAAAGUUCAAGGAGAAGCUUCAAAGGCAUCGCACACCCUGCCAUUUCUCGUUAAAUCUGC